rnacentral:rRNA from 1 species
CACGUAGGGAGCAAGCGUUGUCCGGAUUUAUUGGGCGUAAAGAGCUCGUAGGCUGUUCGAUAAGUCGGGUGUGAAACCUCCAGGCUCAACCUGGAGACGCCACCCGAUACUGUCAUGACUAGAGUCCGGUAGGGGAGCGUGGAAUUCCUGGUGUAGCGGUGAAAUGCGCAGAUAUCAGGAGGAACACCAGCGGCGAAGGCGGCGCUCUGGGCCGGUACUGACGCUGAGGAGCGAAAGCGUGGAUAGCAAACAGG